AAAGAAGAAAAGAGGGAGCGAAACAUGAGAGCCGUAGUGAGCUGCAGCCACCGCCGGCCGCGGAGGAGACAUCACCCCAGCCAGGCGGCUGCUACUGUCCUACCUAGAGAACAUCCUUUCUAUGGGACAAGUGAACUGCUGCCGCCGCCGCCGCCUCACACUGCAGCAGGGGGGGACCCCUUGGCCCAGCCCUCACCACCAGGGCGCAACAGCACCAAUUACUAAAUCUGUGUCACUUGCACCAUUUUAGCCCCACAACUCCUGAGCAUCCUCCCGCUAAGCCGGUUUUGGGGGAGCGAGAGGAGUUCUUUGCCCUUUCGAUUUUUUUAUCACCAUCACUCUCCAGCCCUCCCCCCGUUUUGGGGGUGCUGAUUCCCUGCUUUGAAGUGCAAAAAGAAAAUCAGUCGGGAGGGGGGGCGGUUUGGUUUGGUUUUUUCACUCACACGGUCCAAGGCAUGAUGCUGAAGAUGCUCCCGUUUAAACUGCUGCUGGUGGCCGUGGUUCUGUGCUUCUUUGAGGGGGAUGCAAAGUUUGGGGAGAGUGGAGCAAGGAGGAGAAAGUGCCUGAAUGGUAACCCACCGAGGCGCCUGAAAAAGCGAGACAGGAGGAUGAUGUUCCUGGAGCCUGCCAGCGGAGGGGAGAUGAUGUGUCGUGGCUUGUACCCUCGCCUGUCCUGCUGCUCCAGGACUGACAGUCAGGGGCUGCUGCACAUUGAGACUAAGAUAUUUUCUGUUACCAACAACACAGAAUGUGUGAAGCUACUGGAAGAAAUCAAAUGUGCACACUGCUCACCACAUGCUCAGAAUCUAUUCCAUUCACCUGAGAAAGGGGAAGAAUCUGAAAGAGAACUAGCUCUUCCCUUCCUGUGCAAAGACUAUUGUAAAGAAUUCUAUUAUACUUGCAGAGGUCAAAUACCAGGGUUUCUCCAAACUACAGCUGAUGAGUUUUGCUUUUACUACGCAAGAAAAGAUGGUGGCUUGUGCUUUCCAGAUUUUCCAAGAAAACAAGUGCGAGGCCCAGCUUCUAACUAUUUGGACCAGAUGGAAGAAUAUGACAAAGUGGAAGAGAUCAGCAGAAAGCACAAGCACAACUGCUUCUGUAUUCAGGAGGUUGUGAGUGGUUUGAGGCAGCCUGUUGGUGCAGUGCACUGUGGGGAUGGAUCACAUCGUCUCUUUAUCCUUGAGAAGGAAGGAUAUGUGAAGAUUUUCACUCCUGAAGGGGACAUAAUUAAGGAACCGUUUUUGGACAUACACAAGCUUGUUCAAAGUGGAAUAAAGGGAGGAGAUGAAAGAGGACUGUUAAGCCUUGCAUUCCAUCCCAAUUAUAAGAAAAAUGGAAAGCUGUAUGUGUCUUACACCACCAACCAAGAACGGUGGGCCAUUGGGCCUCAUGACCACAUCCUUAGGGUCGUAGAAUACACAGUAUCCAGGAAAAAUCCACACCAGGUUGAUAUGAGAACAGCAAGAGUGUUUCUAGAAGUAGCAGAGCUACACCGAAAACAUCUAGGAGGACAGCUUCUGUUUGGCCCAGAUGGCUUCUUAUACAUUUUCCUUGGUGAUGGAAUGAUCACUCUAGAUGAUAUGGAGGAGAUGGAUGGUUUAAGUGAUUUUACAGGUUCUGUAUUACGUCUGGACGUAGAUACUGAUUUGUGCAAUGUUCUUUAUUCCAUACCACGGAGCAACCCACACUUUAACAGCACCAAUCAACCCCCUGAAAUUUUUGCACAUGGACUCCACAAUCCAGGCAGGUGUGCCGUGGAUCGCCACCCAACAGAUGUAAAUAUUAAUUUAACAAUACUUUGCUCAGACUCAAAUGGAAAAAAUAGAUCUUCAGCAAGAAUCUUGCAAAUAGUAAAGGGGAAAGACUAUGAGAGCGAGCCUUCACUUCUAGAAUUCAAACCAUUCAGUAGUGGACCAUUGGUUGGUGGAUUUGUAUACCGAGGUUGCCAAUCUGAGAGACUUUAUGGAAGUUAUGUGUUUGGAGACCACAAUGGAAAUUUUUUAACGCUGCAACAGAGUCCUGUGACCAAACAGUGGCAAGAGAAACCUCUAUGUCUUGGCAACAGUGGCUCAUGUAGAGGCUUCUUUUCAGGACACGUUUGGGGAUUUGGUGAAGAUGAAUUAGGUGAGGUGUACAUUUUAUCAAGCAGCAAAAGCAUGACACAGUCUCACAAUGGAAAACUCUACAAGAUAGUUGACCCCAAAAGACCUUUAGUCCCUGAAGAAUGCAAAAGAACAGCUCAGUCUGCACAGAUACUGACGUCUGAAUGCUCCAGGCACUGUCGGAAUGGGCACUGCACUCCAACUGGAAAAUGCUGCUGUAAUCAAGGCUGGGAAGGAGAAUUCUGCAGAACUGCAAAAUGUGAUCCAGCAUGUCGACAUGGAGGUGUCUGUGUAAGACCCAAUAAGUGCUUGUGUAAAAAAGGAUAUCUUGGCCCUCAAUGUGAACAAGUGGAUAGAAACAUCCGAAGAGUGACAAGGGCAGGUAUUCUUGAUCAGAUUAUAGACAUGACAUCCUAUUUGCUGGAUCUAACCAGCUACAUUGUAUAGUUUCUGGGACUAUUUGGAUACUACAUUUUCAAUGGGCAUUUAUUUUGAAUCCUGUCAUUUUAAAAGGACUGUUAUCCUGCUAUAAACACCGGUGAUUCAAUUUACUUUUAUUAAUUUAACUAUAAUUUCCAGACAUGUGCAGAAAAUUUUUUUUCAUGUGUGUAUAUAUAUCCAUACAUCAGCACAGAUGUAUAGAUAUACAACACACGCAAAACCCCAUCAUAAGUGUGGUUGCAUAACCAGUGGAAUUUUUUAAAUAUAUUUCUUCACGUGAAAUAGUUUACACAGUGUUUCCACUUAAACCACAUUUUCAUCAAAGGACUCUUAUGAUGUCAUAAUGGAUUCUUUGACAUCCCAGCAAUUUUACAUCUGUAACUAUCUGAUUAUAACAAUAAAGAGAGGAGUUUUGAAACAUUACUGUACAAACUGCUGGAUUUAAUUAAAUUUAGUUAUAACAGUUUUUAAGGUGAAAUGAACUACACUAUGAGAUAAUAUUUCCAAACUCCUUAAUGCAUUCCUAAAUAGGCAAUUCAUUGUAAGAUUGUAACCUUCACCUUCAUCAAUGUAUCUCUAUUACAGAAUGUUAUGCACUUACUUCUUUAUCUGGCAUAGAUGCAGAAAUCUGGUUAUCGCAACUUAAUAUCAAGAUUGUUUCAAGUGUUCAAUAAUUAAAUUAUAUCAACAUAUUUCAAAACCAGUCAUCCUAGAAGACAUCACCUAGAUGAAACAGCUUUACCAUGUCCUGUAAAAUACUAAAGUUACAUUUUUCACCAACUUAAUUGGAAUGACGGGGAAUGAGAGAGCAAACACUCUUAAAUGUGUUGUGGAUCUAAUCUAGACAUGUAUCCUUGUGUCAACAUAUAUUCCUUUACGACGGAUGAAAAAGCAACCACCAAUCAAUCUUUGUAGAAUUCCAGCAUAUCAUAAAAAUGUUUAUAAAAAGUGCUUUUCACUGUAACAGGACUGCCCAGAUCAUACAUGAUUAGACUGUUACAGAUUUCACACUGAAUGGAACUUCACUGGACAAGAGCUCACUUUAGCAGAUCUUGGCUACAUAAGGUGUCACUUGUACAAAACAUUAUAUGACAAUUAUUGCCAAAUAUGGUUUUAAAUGUAAAUGUUCCUUGAAGAGUUAACAAAAAAUGAAUUUUUGUAAAUGUAUUAAUAAAUUUGGUGUACAUGCUGUAUUCAGGUUUUUAAAGCAUUAGUUAAUAUUUUAACUAUAGACACCUUCAGACCAGGGGACCACCCCCAAUCCACCCCUGCCCCUUGAUCCCCUGUGAUGUGUGGCCAGAUCUGUGUGUUCAUACCUAUCAUAUAUAAGGUUUCCUUUGCACUACUGCCUUACAGAAAAACUUACCUACAA